rnacentral:rRNA from 1 species
UACAGAGGGUGCAAGCGUUAAUCGGAAUUACUGGGCGUAAAGCGUGCGUAGUCGGUUAUUUAACGUCGGGUGUGAAAGCCCCGGGCUCAACCUGGGAAUUGCAUUCGAUACUGGAUAGCUAGAGUUCGGCAGAGGGAAGCGGAAUUUCCGGUGUAGCGGUGAAAUGCGUAGAUAUCGGAAGGAACAUCAGUGGCGAAAGCGGCUUCCUGGACCAGAACUGACGAUCAGGCACGAAAGCG